GAUCUGCAGGGAGCUCUGCGGCGGGGGGUCGCUGCAGGACAUCUACCACGUGACGGGGCCGCUCUCGGAGCAGCAGAUCGCCUACGUGUGCAGGGAGACCCUGGAGGGGGUCUCGUACCUGCACUCCCAGGGCAAGAUGCACCGGGACAUCAAGGUAG